GGCAGAGCUGGUAAGUGUCAGGAUUUGACCCUGUGUGGUCAGAGUGCAGUGCACACAGUUCCACUCGCAGGGGUGCACAUGCAGGGAGGUGGGAAGAAGAGGCAGAGCCUGCAGACAUCUGGGGGACUCCAGCUGCAAGUCGGUCACAGAGCAAGAGGCAUCUAGGGCUGCAUCAAGAGGCAGGCUCCAACAGGACACUUUCCAAGUACCGUAGUUCAAAUACUGGAUGCAACAAAUAGCAUCCUACCGUUCCUCAUGGUAUUCUUCAGAAUUGACUAUUGAAAACACAAGUCAUCAACAAAAAGAUACAAGUUCUACAAUUCUCAAUGGAAGAUAAAGGCUACAGCCAGCUCAGCACUAGUGUGAAGAUUCUCAUUGUCAUAGGAGGUUUGCGGCCAUCACCCUGCUGUUUUUUUCUUCAGUCAACUCUGGAGGCUUCAACGUAUGAUCCUGACAUCCGGAGUGUCAAUGGGCAUGUACACUGAUGAUUCUAGCAGGUGCACAGAUGGGAUUGGAAUAAUGUUAACUACUAAAAACUUAACAAA